UACGGAGGAUACGAGCGUUAUCCGGAUUUAUUGGGUUUAAAGGGUGCGUAGGUGGCUUUAUAAGUCAGUGGUGAAAAGCUGUGGCUCAACCAUAGUCUUGCCGUUGAAACUGUGGAGCUUGAGUGCGGAUGAGGUAGGCGGAACGCGUAGUGUAGCGGUGAAAUGCAUAGAUAUUACGCAGAACUCCGAUUGCGAAGGCAGCUUACCAAACCGCAACUGACACUGAAGCACGAAAGCGUGGGUAUCAAACAGG
rnacentral:rRNA from 1 species